UUAUACUGGUGUGUUUAUAUUAUUUUAGAAUUUUUUGUUUCAGACACAUGGCAUUUGCUAUCCCACUAAUUUGCUGCUUUAGAGGCACGGCAUUUAGUGUCACAUUAAUUUACUGUUUUAGACACGUGGCAUGUGGUAUCCCACUAUUACAACUAAGUUUGUGUAUGGCUUGUUUAUAUUAUUUCAGAAUUUGCUAUUUUAGACACUUGGUAUAAGCUGUCAUACUGUAAGUUUAAAUUGGUUGUAAAAUUUAUAUUGUAACUUGCAUUUCUAUUGGCGUGCAUAUUUAUUUAGUUGAGUCAAGACUAAGUUUAUA